AGAUGAUUUAUCAUGUUCUGGGCCGUCGCCAAUGAUAGAAGGCUUCCUAUUAGCCAUUCCUGCCUUGGAAAAUGGACAGCGGUCUACCAAAAUCGGUCCCUUUAACUGUAGAGCAAGAGUGAUACUUAUUUCUGAUGGCAAAGCUACUUCCUCGACCGACUCAGACUCAGAAUAUCGUGUUUCUGAAAAUGAAGAAGAUCAGAAUAUUCAACUUUUGGAUUUAGUAGGCAAGUAGGAAUAACAAAUCCAAUUACGUGCGUACCUGUCGGAAAUGAUCCAAAUAUUGUAUGUUUAUGCUCGGUUUUACAACGCAU